AUAAUAAUCUUAGUGGGUUCUUGUAACAGCAGGAAUGCUACUAUCCUCAUUUAUUGUUAUGAUCUUGUAAGUUCUUCCAGAUCUAAAGAUGCCCUCACUGCUUGAUGUGGCUGCCAUGAGUCCUUUGAACUUACUUAUCUUGUCGAACUGGAUAUACUUAAAAGUUUCAAUGCUCAAGGUUUGGCCUAAAAUAUUCUUGUGGCAAAUGUUGCUCGAAGUUACACUAAGUUUUUUAAUAAAGUGAAUGGCACACAAAAAAAUAGAUAAAAAGAAGCUAAGAAAUGUGAAAAAUAUCCAUUAGAGUUUCGAAAAUAAAAACGUAUAUAUUAUGUUGAAUAAUCUAAUAAGAUUGAGUUAAAGUUUAAGCCACUACAACUUUUUAUUGAUUCACCUCAAAAAAAAUUAUUAUUAACUCUAUAAUUUAUAGCUCCAUCUGCCUUCUGGUUUUAAAAUUGGAAAUCACUGGAUUACCUCAUCUUGGAGCAUUUGGUGGUCAUCGUAACUUAUUGUGUUAUAAAGUUUCUGGAUUAGCUCCAUCUGCCCCACUUUAGUAUUCUAAAGUGUGAUGAUUUUUGGUUUUAAGGCUUAUCAUAGGCUCCCCCACUUAGAAAAAAUUCUUAGGUAUUAACUAUUAGAAUAUCUCUCUCAUUUUUUCAGACAGUAGGAUUCAAAAUUUUCCACUCUGUCGAAUUAACCAUUUUAAGAAGAAAGGCAUAUCCAAUAAGGCAUUCACAAUUUCACAUACUUUCAAAUCUUCAUGUUGUGAUAGAUUUAAAGGAUUAAUAAUUUGAACAAGAAGGUUUGGACAAGGUAAAAUCUAUGAACCAGGUCCUUUUUCUUUCAAUAGCUUUUUGUUGACCUUCCAUGCAGAGCAAAAAGAACGAAUUGAGAAGGCAGAGGAGGAAGAACGUAAAAAAAAGGAGGAAGAAAUUAGGCUCAAAGAAGCU
rnacentral:lncRNA from 1 species